GACGAACGCUGGCGGCGUGCUUAACACAUGCAAGUCGAACGGAAAGGCCCUGCUUUUGUGGGGUGCUCGAGUGGCGAACGGGUGAGUAACACGUGAGUAACCUGCCCUUGACUUUGGGAUAACUUCAGGAAACUGGGGCUAAUACCGGAUAGGAGAUCCUGCUGCAUGGAGGGGGGUGGAAAGUUUCGGCGGUUGGGGAUGGACUCGCGGUUUAUCAGCUUGUUGGUGGGGGAGUGGCUUACCAAGGCUUUGGCGGGUAGCCGGCCUGGGAGGGUGACCGGCCACAUGGGGCCUGCGAUACGGCCCAGACUCCAACGGGAGGCAGCAGGGGGGAAUAUUGCACAAUGGGCGGAAGCCUGAUGCAGCAACGCCGCGUGCGGGAUGACGGCCUUCGGGUUGUAAACCGCUUUCGCCUGUGACGAAGCUUGAGUGACGGUAAUGGGUAAAGAAGCACCGGCUAACUACGUG
rnacentral:rRNA from 1 species